rnacentral:lncRNA from 7 species
GGUUAAAUGGGGCAUUUUCGAAGAGAAAACGGGUGAUUUCCGCUUAAAUGCGUGAUUUUUUAGCUAAAUGUUGGAUUUUCGAAGAGAAAAUGCGUGAUUUACCCUUAAAUGGGGGAUUUUCGAGGAGAAAAUGCGUGAUUUUGGGGUAAAUGGGGGAUUUUUCGAAGAGAAAAUGGUGAUUUUCAUGCUUAAAUGGGAUUUUCGAAGAUGAAAAUGGGUGUUUUUGCUUAAAUGGUGGGAUUUUUGAAGGGAGAAAAAUGCAUGAUUUUCCCUUAAAUGGGGGGUUUUUGAAGGAGAAAAUGCGUGAUUUUCCAAAUAAUUGGGGAUUUUGAAGGGAAAAUGGGUGAUUUUCGGAUUAAAUGGGGAAUUUUGAAGAGAAAAUGGGUGAUUUUGGGGUUAAAUGGGAGAUUUUUGAAGAGAAAAUGGGUGAUUUUUGCUUAAAUGCAUGAUGUUUUUUGUUAAAUGGGGGAUUUUUGAGGAGAAAAUGCAUGAUUUUCCCUUAAAUGGGGGGUUUUGAGAGAAAUGCGUGAUUUUCCAAAUAAUUGGGGAUUUUUGAAGGGAAAAUGGGUGAUUUUCGGAUUAAAUGGGGGAAUUCUGAGAGAAAAUGGGUGAUUUUGGGGUUAAAUGGGAGAGUUUUGAAGAGAAAACGGGUGAUUUUCGUUUAAAUGCGUGAUUUUUUAGCUAAAUGUUGGAUUUUCGAAGAGAAAAUGCAUGAUUUACCCUUAAUGGGGGAUUUUCGAAGGAGAAAAUGGUGAUUUUGGGUUAAAAUGGAAGUUUUCUAAGAGAAAAUGGGUGAUUUUCACUUAAAUGGGGGAUUUUUGAAGAGAAAAAGGGGUGAUUUUCACUUA